rnacentral:rRNA from 1 species
UAGGGAAUAUUGGUCAAUGGAGGCAACUCUGAACCAGCCAUGCCGCGUGCAGGACUAAGGCCCUAUGGGUCGUAAACUGCUUUUGAACGGGAAGAAAUGUAUCUACGUGUAGAUAUUUGACGGUACCGUUAGAAUAAGGAUCGGCUAACUUCGUGCCAGCAGCCGCGGUAAUACGAAGGAUCCAAGCGUUGUCCGGAUUUACUGGGUUUAAAGGGUGCGUAGGCGGACUUAUAAGUCAGUGGUGAAAGCCUUCAGCUUAACUGAAGAACUGCCAUUGAAACUGUAAGUCUCGAGUUCGGUUGAGGUCAUUGGAAUGUAACAUGUAGCGGUGAAAUGCAUAGAUAUGUUACAGAACACCAAUUGCGAAGGCAGAUGACUAAACCGAAACUGACGCUGAGGCACGAAAGCGUGGGGAUCAAACAGG